CACAAGUGAACAACAACAGCCUGGUACCCUUUAAAAUUACUUUUUUUCAUCUGCAGAAGAGUAUAUACGUUCUUGAAUUAAGACUUGUGGAGUAAUGGAUGGGAACUACCUUCUCUAAGAACAAAUAUUGGAUAUUUUCCUGUUUCUAUGAAAUUCUUCUAUCUAACCACGAUCAAUUUAAACAUCAAAGCACACUUACAAACUGAAUUCUGUUCUUUCCAAAUGACAAUAACAUUUGCAUAGAUUACAGACAUGAGAAAAUUUGUUCAACCUCUGAUACUUAACCAGGGAGGACUGGAGUAGAAGAAAAGUAUUACCAAAAAAACGUAAGUAGGAGAUUUUCAUAAGAAAAUGAUCAGUUAGCAACAGUGUAUAUUCAACGCCAUCUUACUUCUUCUGGUGUUCCAACCAAGCUAACUCAGCCUUUGUCUUCUCCUUCAGAGCCUUCUCCCGGAGCCGAAGUAGUGAGGACUGAUGAGCUGCUCGCAUUUCCUCCUCCUUCAUGUACUGUCUUACCAUCUCCAUAGUAAAUUUAGAGAAACUAUCUUGCCCUCCUGAGAAAGGCAUGCUUAGCUCCUUGAUAGAUGACAGAGCGGUUUUUUCUGGGGAGACUUCCUCAUCAGAAUCAUCACGAGUACCGCGCUUCUUCUCCAAGUUAAUUCUACGAUGACUUUCAGAGGGUAGCAAAGACCGAAAG
rnacentral:lncRNA from 1 species